rnacentral:rRNA from 1 species
AGGAAAAUAAAAUAAUAAUGAUUCCCGUAGUAGUGGCGAACGAACCGGGAAAAGCCUAAACCUAAACAGUGUUUUACCAAUGCUUCGCAUUGGACUGCGAAUUUUGCGAAUUAAAAUUGCGAAUUAUUACGAAUAUUUAUAUUUGUAUAAUUCGUAAAUAAUUUGUAUUAAUUAGCAUGCCGAUGCGGAGCAGCGGUAUUUAAAGGUAUGAGCCGUUGCUGUUUAAGGUGUUGCAAGGCGUCAGUUUUUGUGGCUUAUAACACAAAAAAUGAGUUACAAAAUUUUUUCUUAGUAGAAAUUAGCUGGAAAGCUAAUACCACAGAUGGUGAUAGUCCAGUAUACAAAAAGAAAAGAUCUCAUUAUGACGAACCUUAAGUAGGGCAGGACACGUGAAAUCCUGUUUGAAGCAGGGGCGACUAUGCCCCAAGGCUAAAUACUUUCGAAGAUCGAUAGUGAACAAGUACCGUGAGGGAAAGGUUAAAAGCACCCCGGUGAGGGGGAUGAAAUAGUUUCUGAAACCAUACGUUUUCAAAGAAUCAAAGUCUCGAGUAAUCGGGACAAUGGUGUGCCUAUUGAAGAAUGAGCCAACGAGUAUACUUAUGUUGCUUGUCUAAGUCCGUUAAUCGGAUUAAGGCAUAGGGAAACCAAGUCUUAAAUGGGCGUUUAAGGCAGCAUGUGUAUGACCCGAAACCAGGUGAUCUAGCCAUGGCCAGGAUGAGUCCCUCAGAAAUGUGGGAGGAGGUCCGAACUCACGCGCCGUACAACACGCGGGGAUGAGCUGUGGUUAGGGGUGAAAUUCCAAUCGAACCUGGUAAUAGCUGGUUCUCCUCGAAAUAGCUUCAGGGCUAGCGCUGGUUAAUAUUUAACCGGGGGUAGAGCACUGGAUGGGGCUGGAGUCGCAAGAUAUCCUCCCCAACCAAACUCCGAAUACCGGUUAAAAUUUCCAGUAGUCAGACAGUGGGGGCUAAGCUUCAUUGUCAAAAGGGAAACAGCCCAGAUCUCUAUCUAAGGUCCCUAAAUUUAUAUUAAGUGUUAAAGGUGGUGUUUUUUCUCAUACAACCAGGAUGUUGGCUUAGAAGCAGCCAUCAUUUAAAGAUAGCGUAAUAGCUCACUGGUCAAGAGAAGAUGCGCCAAAAAUGUUCGGGGCUAAAUAUAAUACCGAAGAUGAGGAUGUCAUUGCUUCGCAAUGGAAGCACGAAAUUCGAAUAUCGAAAUUCGAAACAAAUUUAAAAAAUUUAAAUUUAAAAUUUUAAUAUUUUAUUUUUUUGAAUUUAGAUAUUGUUUCGGAUUUAGAAUUUGUGAUUUCGGAUUUCCACUGCGUAGCAGUGAUGUGGUAGAGGAGUAUUCUGUUAACCUGCGAAGCAUAUCCCGCGAGGGAGUGUGGAGGAAGCAGAAGUAAGAAUGUUGGCAUGAGUAACAAAAAGGCAGGUGAGAAUCCUGCCCACCGAAAGCCUCAGGUUUCCUGGGCAAUGACUGUCAUCCCAGGGUUAGGCGAUCCUAAUUGUAUGGCCCAAGGGUCACACAAGAUGGAAGAACAGGUUAAUAUUCCUGUCCUACUUUAAUUUUAUCUUUUUGGCGACGUAUUCAAGUGAAUGAGCGUCCUAUGGCUAUGACGUUCCGGCCGUGCCUCAUUGCAUUCGGCACGGAAUUUCCAAUUUUCAAUUUUCAAUUUCCAAAUAAUUUUUAAUGAUUAAAUUUUUAAAUUUUAAAAUAAUUUAUAAUUUGAUUUUUUAAAUUUGAUAUUUAUUUGGAAUUUAGGAUUUGGAAUUUGAGAUUUCCGCCCGAGUCUAACGAGGCGCGGCUGGUAGAAGUGAAAGCUCCGGCUGGAUCGAAUUCAUGUGAUUGAAUGCCAAGAAAAACCAAGAGUCAUGAAUUAAAGUAACCGUACCGUAAACCGACACAGGUAGGCGGGUUGAGUAUACUAAGGUGAACGAGAGAACCCUUUUUUAAGGAACUCGGCAAAAAAACGAGCGUAACUUCGGGAUAAGCUCUCCCCACAGCAAUGUGGGGUGCAACCAACGUGUUUCAGGCGACUGUUUACCAAAAACACAGGUCCCUGCUAAGUCGCAAGACUACGUAUAGGGGCUGAUGCCUGGCCAGUGUCCGAACGUUAACGUGAGGGGUGAAAAUCGAUUUAUCGAGACUAGCUCUGAUCCGAAGCGCGGAUGAACGCCGGCGAUAACUAUAAUCGUCCUAAGGUAGCGAAAUUCCUUGACGGGUAAGUUCCGUCCUGCACGAAUGGCAUAACGGUCUGAAAACUGUCUUAAAAAGGGACUCGGUGAAAUUGCAAUGCCAGUAAAGAUGCUGGCUUCUCACAGUUAGACGAAAAGACCCCGUGAAGCUUUACUACAACUUGAUAUUGAUUUAUUGAUUAACAUGUUCAGCAUAGGUGGGAGCCCCGAGCAAUCGGGACAAUAGUGAGAUACCACCCUUGUUAUUUAGUAAGUCUAACCCCUAUAGGGGGACAUUAUCUGGUGGGUAGUUUGACUGGGGCGGUCGCCUCCUAAAAAGUAACGGAGGCAUUUACAAAGGUAGGCUAGAUCCCGAUGGAAACGGGAUUGAUAGGGCAAACCCUUAAGCCUGCUUUACUGCAAGUCCAACAAGACGAGCAGUUGCGAAAGCAUAAGUUAGUGAACCGAUCAUGCCAUAUAGGUGGCUGAAAGAUCAUUGAAUAAAAGCUACUCCGGGGAUAACAGGCUAGUUCCGCCCAAGCGUCCAUAGCGACGGCGGAGUUCGGCACCUCGAUGUCGGCUCAUCGCAUCCUGGGGGUGUAGAAGCUCCCAAGGGUUGGGCUGUUCGCCCAUUAAAGCGGUACGCGAGCUGGGUUCAAAACGUCGUGAGACAGUAGGAGUAUCCAUGCUGUCUAUAAAUCUAGCUAAAUGCUGGAAAAUCUGGCCAACUCCUUUUAGGAACAGGAGUUGAAGUAUCUCACACUACUAUGUUAUAAUAAAUAGAUGAAAAAUAUAAAACAUAGUGACAAUGUGUUGAGCGCAGACAAUCAGCAGGAAAGAUUAAAGCAUAUAAAUCCAUGGUAUAUUGUUGGUUUUACUGAAGGUGAAGGAACUUUUCAUGUCGCUUUCUAUAAGGAUCCGCAAAUGAAACAGGGAAUAAAAGUAAUUCCAGAAUUUCAUAUU